UGCUCAGUGGUGCAGCAACUGCUUUGCAUGCAGAAGGUCCCAGGUUCAAUUCCUGGCAUCUCCAG